ACCUCCAAAAAUUAAUGUUUAUAUAUAAACAUAAGUUAUCAAGUCCAUAUUUAUUGAAUGAGAAGAAAUGGUCGAUUUAUACCAGAAACUUAUUGUUUCCUGUUUUAUGAACAUUUUAAUUCUUAAAAGCCACUUAGAAUUUAAAUAUUUAUCAGACAUAUACUCUGAUAUGAUGUCUGUCUUACAACGAUUCCAACGAUACCUUAUUUGUCUAAAUCGGUAAAGGAAUAGUCGAGUUACAGUGCAAAAAGUGCGAUAACGUUACCCCACCCACCGAAUUUACAUAUAAACAAAAUCGUUUUUAUGUUAAUAAAAGAAAUAUAUUUCUGUUUUUCUUAAAUAAUUACCCUUAAAUUAUAUAUCGUGCUUCUAAGACAAUAUUUAGUAUCUACAUCUUCAAGUGGGCUUUGAAAUAUCUCCAUAAUAAGCCAAAAUAACUUUGCCAACUUCGGCGGAAGUAGUUAAGACAGCCAUAUUUGAUACUCGCGAAAACUAAUUCUUUGAAGCGAGCACUUGUUGUGACGUCAUGAGUUAAGUCUUAUAAAUAGUCGGAGCCAGCCUCUGGACCAUUUGUGUUGGCAAUCUUCAAAGAUUACGGAUACCAUCGUGAUGAUGCAGGUAUAGUACCUUAUGAUUACAACCGUCAGGGUACAAGAACCGUAAUAAGGUUACCGUCUCCCGGCAGGAACCGUCUUCUGCAUAAUGUAAACCUACGUUACCGUCAACCGUCAUCCAACACCCUCCGUCUACUGAUCAUCAUUACCAAAGAGAAGUUCUUCGAUUAUACAUAACCGUAAGGUAAUAUACAACACCUACGAUUCCUUCUUAAAGUCUUAAAUACCGUCAGUGUUCUGUACCGUCAAUAUAAAGUAAGGUCCGAAAUUACCGUCAGUGACCAGAAGAACCGUCAGUGUUUAAGUGAUUAAAGUACCGUCAAUGACCAUAAGAACCGUCAGUGCUUCAGUGAUUAAAAUACCGUCAUUAUUAAGCUGUUUUAAGGGUAAAGUGCCGUUAUGUGAGUGAAUGUGAAAUCCAAAGGAAGUGUUCAAUAUAACCGUCAGUGCUUUUUCAUGGAUAUACAAAUAUCUUAGUGUGGUAAUGUGUAAGAAAUUAAUGCAGCAAUAAAGAUCAUCUGAUCUAAUCAAUAUCAGUGCUUCAUAAAUAUAAUUAAUGUAAAGUGUUACUACCAACGGAGAGGAACGUCGUCAGUGUUGGUUACCGUCAUCUUAAUUAUAUUCUAAGUAAUUACAUAAGGGAUCAUCAGUGUUUUAUUGUGUGCUUAAGUGUCAUCUUUAUUGUGAAUAACCGUCAGUGUAAGUGCCUUGUGAAUAACCGUCAGUGUAAGUGCCUUUUAUAAUCUGAUCCAUAAUCAAAUAGUUAUAAUUCUGCAAGUGUGUGAUGUCUUUAAUUACCGUAAAGUGUCAUUUAAGGAUAAAUAUAUAUUCAGUGCUACAGUGUCGCCGAUAGGAAUGAAUUUCGAAGUGAGAACCGUCAACAAUUAUUGAGUAAGGAGUCUGUUUUUAACCUUAAUAAAGAAGUGGUGCUGUUGAAAUUCCCAACAAUAUAUAAUACCAUCUGUGUUAAAUAUCGGCUACAAAACCAUAUCGGUCAAUAUAUUGAAAUAGAAUUAUUUCUACAAGUGUCAUCAGUGUGAUUGGUUUUUGAUCUACUAUUCCGUCGCAUUUAUAAAUAAGUGUGUGGAAAUUUGCUCAUCGUUGAUAUCCAAAGUGUUACUUUACCGUCCAGUUGCAGUUUACCAUUAUAUCUGUGAGAAGAAUCUAUACUCUACUACUUCUUGUGGUACCCUACCGUCUAUCUGACCAAUUACCGUCAGAUACUAUUCUUCUAGAGCUACCACCUCACUAUAGUUACAGGAGAGAUUGAGGAAGUAACAUUAUCGUCAAACACCUCAGAAUUUAAUGUACAUACUACGGUCAAUGCAGUGCUACAAGCAGUAAUAAAAUCCUCUCAUUUCUAUAGAACCGUCAAGGGGAUUAACUUAUGAUACUUAUCUCAUUUAUAUAUAUAAGUAUUGUUGAAGAGUACCUUAAAUAAAGAGACACACUAAAGACUAUGGACCUUUAACAUAUAUAAAGUACUCCUUUUUUACUGAUGUUUAAAACCUUGAAGAAGAAGUGUACUCGCCGAGAUGAACAAAAGAUGAACACUUAGAUACCUUUAUUCUUAAUCAACAAUAACAUGAUAAAGUGACGUUGCUCUCUUACACUGGUGAAGAUGUUAUCAAGCUGACUCUUAACUAAAUGACACUUCCAUUCAACAUAAACAUUCAGUGGAAUAACUUAUUUACUAAAUAAGUGACUAUUUCUUUCAUAUUUAUUAGCUAAAGUUGAACUGAAUUAUUUUAUAGAGUAAGAAGGAACUCGUGAACUUUAUAUACAGAAGAAUACUUGUUAUUAAACAGAACAUUUAUCGUAAUAUUACCAUCUUAUACACUUACUCUUAAUAAUUACCAUAUGCUACCAUUUUCAUUGUUAAGGUUUCUAGUUAAAUAAAAUGUGUUAAAUGUU